AAAAUUGUCAAUAAAUAUAUUGAGAUAAUGAGAUAAACCUCAUCCUCGUUCCCUGUCUCUCUGUCUCCUGUAAAACUCCUCUUUUUUCUUUCCAUUCUCUGCACAAAAUCAAGAGAUGAAAAUGGCGACAAUUUCAUCUCUAACAUCGUCAAUACCCACAACCUCAAAGUUGACUCUUUUAACAAACCCAUCAAAACCCACUUUCCAAAUCCUCAAGCCAAUAACCCCUUCUAAUAAUUUCCCCAAACUCACACAUUUGCAUAUAGUUUUGAAACACAAAGUCCCAAAAAGGUUCUUCGCAGUAGCAGAAGAAACAGCAUCGGUUGCUCCAGUUGACCCUUCUUCAGAGGCCGCCCGGAGGCUGUACAUUGGUAACAUUCCAAGGACUGUGAACAACGAGGUGCUUAAAAAGAUUGUUGAAGAACAUGGUGCUGUUGAAAAAGCUGAGGUUAUGUAUGAUAAGUACUCCGGUAGGAGCCGUCGAUUUGCAUUCGUUACAAUGAAAACUGUUGAAGAUGCAAAUGCUGCAAUCGAGAAACUGAAUGGCACAGAAAUUGGAGGACGCGAGAUUAAAGUGAACAUUACAGAGAAACCUUUGCCAUCUAUCGAUUUGUCUCUUCUUCAGGUUGAGGAAUCUCAAUUCAUUGACAGUCCUCAUAAAGUUUAUGUUGGAAAUCUUGCUAAAACAGUAACUACAGAAAUGCUCAAGAACUUCUUUUCUGAGAAGGGACAGGUUCUUAGUGCAAAAGUUUCUCGAGUUCCUGGGACCUCAAAAUCCAGUGGGUAUGGGUUUGUUACAUUCUCUUCGGAUGAGGACGUAGAAGCUGCCAUCUCAUCUUUUAACAAUUCUGUAAGUUUUUGCUGUCCCUGCAGAUGUUAAAUGGACGAUUAAAUUCCUUGAAGCGCAAAAAUCUGUACACAUGCACUCAUAUGCAGUUUGUUGUAGUACACUUACAGUCAUGCUUUCUUGUUUUUGCCGUGUUGGUCUGUGUAUUCUAGAAUCUGGAUUCAUGCAUGCUUCUCACUUUCACCUUGCUAAUAUUGUCAACCACCCCCUGGCCUGUCUAUCCGUCCACCCAUCCAUCCAUCUCACUGACUCAUACAUUUUGUCUUUUGCUUUCUAUCAAAUUGCCACUUGUGUUUUUCUUCCAUAAUGUGCAUUUUACUUGGAGCAUUUAUCUGAAUAAGUUGCAUUGUAAGAGUUUCCACUACUGGCCAUUCACACAUGCAGAUAUUUACUCACUUGUUAUCUAUUUUGAUCAUUGUCCGGCUAUUUCAUUUCUCUGAUGCUAAAUUCUCAUUGCAGUUAUUGGAAGGCCAACAAAUUCGCGUAAACAAGGCCUAGUGUAGUUUGUAUCACCCUGGAUAUGGAGACUAGAGUACUUUGUGUCCAUCACAUUGAAAUUUAGGGCAGUCUUUUGCUAAUCAUUGCUUUAGUCAUGUACAUUUCUCUACUGGACGUUAUCAUAUUUUCUGUUUGUGUCAUAGUUUCGUAAUUGUCUUCGGUCAGAGUUCACUGCUUGAAAGCAAAUUUAUGCUUUAGAUAUUAGAGUUCGAGCUUGAGAACUGGCUCUUCUGUUUAUGAUGUUGCUUCAAAAUGGGGAUUACACAAUUCAAAGUCUAGCUAAGCUGAGCCUGUUAGUGUGGAUAUGUGAGGUUUGAUUAGUUGAAUUGGGCUUCAUGAACAUGCCUGAUAUAUAUACAAGCUAACUUUCAUAUAUAAUCGAGUCCAGUUUUCUGGUCCGA
rnacentral:misc_RNA from 1 species